UAGAGUUUUGRWUCAUGGCUCAGGACGAACGCUGGCGGCGUGCCUAAUACAUGCAAGUCGUACGCUUCUUUUUUCCACCGGAGCUUGCUCCACCGGAAAAAGAAGAGUGGCGAACGGGUGAGUAACACGUGGGUAACCUGCCCAUCAGAAGGGGAUAACACUUGGAAACAGGUGCUAAUACCGUAUAACAAUCGAAACCGCAUGGUUUUGAUUUGAAAGGCGCUUUCGGGUGUCGCUGAYMGAUGGACCCGCGGUGCAUUAGCUAGUUGGUGAGGUAACGGCUCACCAAGGCCACGAUGCAUAGCCGACCUGAGAGGGUGAUCGGCCACAUUGGGACUGAGACACGGCCCAAACUCCUACGGGAGGCAGCAGUAGGGAAUCUUCGGCAAUGGACGAAAGUCUGACCGAGCAACGCCGCGUGAGUGAAGAAGGUUUUCGGAUCGUAAAACUCUGUUGUUAGAGAAGAACAAGGAUGAGAGUAACUGUUCAUCCCUUGACGGUAUCUAACCAGAAAGCCACGGCUAACUACGUGCCAGCAGCCGCGGUAAUACGUAGGUGGCAAGCGUUGUCCGGAUUUAUUGGGCGUAAAGCGAGCGCAGGCGGUUUCUUAAGUCUGAUGUGAAAGCCCCCGGCUCAACCGGGGAGGGUCAUUGGAAACUGGGAGACUUGAGUGCAGAAGAGGAGAGUGGAAUUCCAUGUGUAGCGGUGAAAUGCGUAGAUAUAUGGAGGAACACCAGUGGCGAAGGCGGCUCUCUGGUCUGUAACUGACGCUGAGGCUCGAAAGCGUGGGGAGCAAACAGGAUUAGAUACCCUGGUAGUCCACGCCGUAAACGAUGAGUGCUAAGUGUUGGAGGGUUUCCGCCCUUCAGUGCUGCAGCUAACGCAUUAAGCACUCCGGCCCKG
rnacentral:rRNA from 1 species